UAGGUAAUGUUUAGGGGACAAUAUGUCCACGUGGGUCCCAUGUGGGGAAAGAUCAUCUUUAUGUGUAAUUAUAAGUAUAGAUAAAUGUGGCUUUUGGGGCUGUCAACGUGGAGUGACCUUGUUAAAUUAUAAUAGUGACUAAUUAAUCAAAUGAGUAGCUAGUGAAGUGGUAGCAGUCCACGUGUUUUAUUUAAAGUGGGCUACAAGCUUGCAAAUAUAUAUACAUACACGUUGUGUCUUGGUGUCAAAUGGAUGAUGAUUAUUAAAAGAGUUGGUCAGCCAUGGUGCACGUGAAAAAGGGAAAAGUAGUGAUGACUUUGUGUCAUUUUUUUUAUAUACAUAAUGGAAGGGAGGGGUCCUUUGGAUUUUCAUUACAAAUGAAACCAUUUAUUUGUUGAAGAAAAGCAAGGCCAACAGCAGCAAUGGACAAGCAGCCAUGGACGUGCUUGUUGCUGCCAAGGAAAAAAAACCUGCCCCUUAUAAAUUAAUUAGUAGUUCAUUAAGAGAUCGAGAACACCUGUUUUUAGGGAGGUUGAGAUAAACAUUCACACUUCAUUUUGAGAAAGGAAUUGAGCAGCAACGUUCAAGUAAUUAUGGUGAAGCUUUUGCUUCAAUUGAGAAUUGGAGGCAGCAAGUUCAAGCCAACUAAAGCUUAGAUAAUUUGGGAUCGAUGGUGACAACGAACUUCUUUCUUACAAGAACAUAUGCAGCAACUUGUUUUAAUUUUAAGACCUGCGAGCUCGAGAAGUAGACGUUGGACAUUAGAUAGAGUUCAAGGUAGACAAGGAGGUGAGCUUGAUCCAGAUUCUUAGUAGCUGUCAGCUGAUUGAGAGCACUCCAUUGUUCGGAGGUGCUUAUGUUUAUUAUUUUGGUUCCUAUAUGUAUUUCGCGCACGACGGAGUCUUGUUCCGUCUAUAUGUAUAAAAUGUCAGUAGAGGCUCGUAGACGCGCAGUGUGGGUUAGAUGGUCUCACAAGAUUACUAUGUUAUAUUUGUAUAUGUUAUUUUGAUAGCCUAAGGGGCACGUGUAUAUAAAAUCAUUUG